UGCGUAGGGUGCAAGCGUUGUCCGGAAUUAUUGGGCGUAAAGAGCUCGUAGGCGGUCUGUCGCGUCGGCUGUGAAAACUCGGGGCUCAACCCCGAGCCUGCAGUCGAUACGGGCAGACUAGAGUGCUGUAGGGGAGACUGGAAUUCCUGGUGUAGCGGUGAAAUGCGCAGAUAUCAGGAGGAACACCGGUGGCGAAGGCGGGUCUCUGGGCAGUAACUGACGCUGAGGAGCGAAAGCGUGGGGAGCGAACAGG
rnacentral:rRNA from 1 species